GCUCAGAUUGAACGCUGGCGGCAGGCCUAACACAUGCAAGUCGAGCGGCAGCACGGGUACUUGUACCUGGUGGCGAGCGGCGGACGGGUGAGUAAUGCCUAGGAAUCUGCCUGGUAGUGGGGGAUAACGUUCGGAAACGAACGCUAAUACCGCAUACGUCCUACGGGAGAAAGCAGGGGACCUUCGGGCCUUGCGCUAUCAGAUGAGCCUAGGUCGGAUUAGCUAGUUGGUGAGGUAAUGGCUCACCAAGGCGACGAUCCGUAACUGGUCUGAGAGGAUGAUCAGUCACACUGGAACUGAGACACGGUCCAGACUCCUACGGGAGGCAGCAGUGGGGAAUAUUGGACAAUGGGCGAAAGCCUGAUCCAGCCAUGCCGCGUGUGUGAAGAAGGUCUUCGGAUUGUAAAGCACUUUAAGUUGGGAGGAAGGGCAGUUACCUAAUACGUAAUUGUUUUGACGUUACCGACAGAAUAAGCACCGGCUAACUCUGUGCCAGCAGCCGCGGUAAUACAGAGGGUGCAAGCGUUAAUCGGAAUUACUGGGCGUAAAGCGCGCGUAGGUGGUUCGUUAAGUUGGAUGUGAAAUCCCCGGGCUCAACCUGGGAACUGCAUUCAAAACUGUCGAGCUAGAGUAUGGUAGAGGGUGGUGGAAUUUCCUGUGUAGCGGUGAAAUGCGUAGAUAUAGGAAGGAACACCAGUGGCGAAGGCGACCACCUGGACUGAUACUGACACUGAGUGCA
rnacentral:rRNA from 1 species